AGAGUUGAUCCUGGCUUAGAACGAACGCUGGCGGCAGGCCUAACACAUGCAAGUCGAGCGCGCCCUUCGGGGUGAGCGGCGGACGGGUUAGUAACGCGUGGGAACGUACCCUUUGGUAGGGAAUAGCCACUGGAAACGGUGAGUAAUACCCUAUGAGCCCUUCGGGGGAAAGAUUUAUCGCCAAAGGAUCGGCCCGCGUUAGAUUAGGUAGUUGGUGGGGUAAUGGCCUACCAAGCCUACGAUCUAUAGCUGGUUUUAGAGGAUGAUCAGCAACACUGGGACUGAGACACGGCCCAGACUCCUACGGGAGGCAGCAGUGGGGAAUCUUGGACAAUGGGGGCAACCCUGAUCCCAGCCAUGCCGCGUGAGUGAAGAAGGCCUUAGGGUCGUAAAGCUCUUUCGCCUGUGAAGAUAAUGACGGUAGCAGGUAAAGAAACCCCGGCUAACUCCGUGCCAGCAGCCGC
rnacentral:rRNA from 1 species